rnacentral:rRNA from 1 species
AUUGAACGCUGGCGGCAGGCUUAACACAUGCAAGUCGAACGGUAACAUAAAGAAGCUUGCUUCUUUGAUGACGAGUGGCGGACGGGUGAGUAAUGCUUGGGAAUCUAGCUUAUGGAGGGGGAUAACUACGGGAAACUGUAGCUAAUACCGCGUAGUACCGAGAGAUGAAAGUGUGGGACCUUCGGGCCACAUGCCAUAGGAUGAGCCCAAGUGGGAUUAGGUAGUUGGUGAGGUAAAGGCUCACCAAGCCGACGAUCUCUAGCUGGUCUGAGAGGAUGACCAGCCACACUGGGACUGAGACACGGCCCAGACUCCUACGGGAGGCAGCAGUGGGGAAUAUUGCGCAAUGGGGGCAACCCUGACGCAGCCAUGCCGCGUGAAUGAAGAAGGCCUUCGGGUUGUAAAGUUCUUUCGGUAGCGAGGAAGGCAUUUAGUUUAAUAAACUAGGUGAUUGACGUUAACUACAGAAGAAGCACCGGCUAACUCCGUG